rnacentral:rRNA from 1 species
UGCCAGCCGCCGCGGUAAUACGGAGGGGGUUAGCGUUAUUCGGAAUUACUGGGCGUAAAGCGAGCGUAGGCGGAUUUGUAAGUUGGAGGUGAAAUCCCAGAGCUUAACUCUGGAACUGCCUUCAAAACUACAUUUCUUGAGUUUGGUAGAGGAGAGUGGAAUUCCUAGUGUAGAGGUGAAAUUCGUAGAUAUUAGGAGGAACACCAGUGGCGAAGGCGACUCUCUGGGCCAAUACUGACGCUGAGGUUCGAAAGCAUGGGUAGCGAACAGGAUUAGAUA